rnacentral:rRNA from 1 species
AGAGUUUGAUCCUGGCUCAGGAUGAACGCUGGCGGCGUGCUUAACACAUGCAAGUCGAACGGGAAUUACUUUAUUGAAACUUCGGUCGAUUUAAUUUAAUUCUAGUGGCGGACGGGUGAGUAACGCGUGGGUAACCUGCCUUAUACAGGGGGAUAACAGUCAGAAAUGGCUGCUAAUACCGCAUAAGCGCACAGAGCUGCAUGGCUCAGUGUGAAAAACUCCGGUGGUAUAAGAUGGACCCGCGUUGGAUUAGCUUGUUGGUGGGGUAACGGCUCACCAAGGCGACGAUCCAUAGCCGGCCUGAGAGGGUGAACGGCCACAUUGGGACUGAGACACGGCCCAGACUCCUACGGGAGGCAGCGGUGGGGAAUAUUGCACAAUGGGGGAAACCCUGAUGCAGCGACGCCGCGUGAAGGAAGAAGUAUCUCGGUAUGUAAACUUCUAUCAGCAGGGAAGAUAGUGACGGUACCUGACUAAGAAGCCCCGGCUAACUACGUGCCAGCAGCCGCGGUAAUACGUAGGGGGCAAGCGUUAUCCGGAUUUACUGGGUGUAAAGGGAGCGUAGACGGUGUGGCAAGUCUGAUGUGAAAGGCAUGGGCUCAACCUGUGGACUGCAUUGGAAACUGUCAUACUUGAGUGCCGGAGGGGUAAGCGGAAUUCCUAGUGUAGCGGUGAAAUGCGUAGAUAUUAGGAGGAACACCAGUGGCGAAGGCGGCUUUCUGGACCGUAACUGACGUUGAGGCACGAAAGUGUGGGGAGCAAACAGGAUUAGAUACCCUGGUAGUCCACACCGUAAACGAUGGAUACUAGGUGGUAGGGAGGGUUAAAACCUUUCUGUGCCGCCGUAAACACAAUAAGUAUCCCACCUGAGUAGUACGACCGCAAGGUUAAAACUCAAAGGAAUUGACGGGGGCCCGCACAAGCAGUGGAGUAUGUGGUUUAAUUCGAAGCAACGCGAAGAACCUUACCAGGGCUUGACAUAUACAGGAAUACUUAAGAGAUUAAGUAGCUCUUCGGAGCUUGUAUACAGGUGGUGCAUGGUUGUCGUCAGCUCGUGUCGUGAGAUGUUGGGUUAAGUCCCGCAACGAGCGCAACCCUUGUGAUAUGUUACUAACAUUGAGUUGUGGACUCAUAUCAGACUGCCGGUGAUAAACCGGAGGAAGGUGGGGAUGACGUCAAAUCAUCAUGCCCCUUAUGGCCUGGGCUACACACGUACUACAAUGGCGUCUACAAAGAGCGGCAAGCCUGUGAAGGCAAGCGAAUCUCAUAAAGGACGUCUCAGUUCGGAUUGAAGUCUGCAACCCGACUUCAUGAAGCUGGAAUCGCUAGUAAUCGCGAAUCAGCAUGUCGCGGUGAAUACGUUCUCGGGCCUUGUACACACCGCCCGUCA